CAGGCCAAGCCAAUAUUCCAACUCAGUUAAUGAACAGAAUUUAAUAUUUAAACAUAAAAUGAAUGAAUACCAAUAUGAAUAUCUGCUUCAAUAAAACUUGUAAGAAAUUGUAAGUUGUUACAAAAUACAUCAAUAUGCAUAUCAAAUGUACAUCUGAAGCUACAAUCAAAGCCAGGAAAGUAGCAGAAACAAUAUGGUUGAACUCCUCAGGCAAAAAACCUGUAAUAGUAGGAGGAAUUAAUAAUUUAGAAACAAUUUUAUUCCAAAAUUUAAAUCAC